rnacentral:rRNA from 1 species
GGUUCAUUCAAAUUCUGCCCUAUCAACUUUCGAUUGUAGUGUAUUGGCAAAACAUGGUAUAAGGGGUAACGGGAGAUUAGGUCUCGAUUCCGGAGAAGGAGCUGAGAACGGCUACUACAUCCAAGGAAGGCAGCAGGCGCGCAAAUUACCCAAGCCCGUCCGGGGAGGUAGUGACAAUAAAUACUGAUACAGGGCUCUUUCGGGUCUUGUAAUUGGAAUGGGUACAAUCUAAAUCCCUUAACGAGGAACAAUUGGAGGGCAAGUCUGGUGCCAGCAGCCGCGGUAAUUCCAGCUCCAAUAGCGUAUAUUAAAGUUGUUUCGGUUAAAAAGCUCGUAGUUG